GACGAACGCUGGCGGCGUGCUUAACACAUGCAGGUCGAACGAAGAGCGAUGGAAGCUUGCUUCUAUCAAUCUUAGUGGCGCACGGGUGAGUAACGCGUAAUCAACCUGCCCUUCAGAGGGGGACAACAGUUGGAAACGACUGCUAAUACCGCAUACGAUCUAAUCUCGGCAUCGAGGAAAGAUGAAAGGUGGCCUCUAUUUAUAAGCUAUCACUGAAGGAGGGGAUUGCGUCUGAUUAGCUAGUUGGAGGGGUAACGGCCCACCAAGGCGAUGAUCAGUAGCCGGUCUGAGAGGAUGAACGGCCACAUUGGGACUGAGACACGGCCCAGACUCCUACGGGAGGCAGCAGUGGGGAAUCUUCCGCAAUGGACGAAAGUCUGACGGAGCAACGCCGCGGGAGUGAUGACGGCCUUCGGGUUGUAAAGCUCUGUUAAUCGGGACGAAAGGCCUUCUUGCGAACAGUUAGAAGGAUUGACGGUACCGGAAUAGAAAGCCACGGCUAACUACGUG
rnacentral:rRNA from 1 species